rnacentral:lncRNA from 1 species
CUCUCUCCUGCGCAAGCGCUCUUCAACAUCACUCCUUGCUACCUCGCCCCCCACCUCCUCCAGGGCAGGAACCAAGCCUGGGUGAUUUCUCCAAAGAGAAAGUUUUAAAAGGGUUGUGUAUCCACCGUAUGUCCCCACGUAACAGGUUUUUAAUCCUGGGUGGGCCUGAGAAGCUUUUAACUACAUCAGAAAUGGAAGCUUUAACUUAAAUUGACCCAGACUUUUGGCACCUAAAAAUGGGACUAUUCUAAUACCUUGAAAGUGACAGAAGCGCCAAGCAACGCUCAACACACUGCGUGGAUGGAGAAGGGAGAAUUGACAAGCCCUCCUACAUUGUUGGUGGGAAUGUAAUUGGUACAACCACUAUGAAAAACAUUAUGGAGGUACCUCAGAAGAAACUAAAUAUAGAACUACUGUAUGAUCCAGCGAUACCACUCCUGGGCAUAUAUCUGGACAAAACUUUCAUUGAAAAAGAUACAUGCAUUCCUGUGUUCAUUGCAACUAUUCACAAUAGCCAAGACAUGGACACAACUUAAAUGUCCAUUGACCAAUAAAUGGAUUAAGAAGAUGUGGUACAUAUACACAAUGGAAUACUACUCAACUACAAAAAGAACAGAGUAAUGCCUUUUGCAGCAACAUGGAUGGAAAUAAAGACUCUCAUACUAAGUGAAGUAAGUCAGAAAGAGAAGGGCAAAUACCAUAUGAUAUCACAUAUCUGGAGUCUAAUAUAUGACACAAAUUAACCUCAAAUACAGAAAAGAAACAAACUCAUGGACAUGGAGACAUGGACUUGUGGUUAUCAAGGGGGAGAGAGAGGGGGUGAGAUGGACUGUAAGUUUGGGGUUAGUAGAUGCAAACUAUGGCAUUCGGAUUGAAUAAGCAAUGAGAUCCUGAUAUGUGGCACAGGGAACUAUAUCUAGUCACUUGUAAUCGAAUAUGAUGGAGGAUAAUGUGAGAAAAAGAAUGUAUACAUAUGUGUAACUGGGUCACUUUGCUGUACAGCAGAAAUUGACAGAACAAUGGAAAUCAACUAUAAUAAAAAA